AUUGAACGCUGGCGGCAGGCCUAACACAUGCAAGUCGAACGAGUGGCGGACGGGUGAGUAAUGUCCGGGAAACUGCCUGAUGGAGGGGGAUAACUACUGGAAACGGUAGAUAAUACCGCACACCAUGGGAUGUGCCCAGAUGGGAUUAGCUAGUAGGUGGGGUAAAGGCUCACCUAGGCGACGAUCCCUAGCUGGUCUGAGAGGAUGACCAGCCACACUGGAACGGAGUCGCGGUCCAGACGCCUACGGUAGGCACCUGUGGGGAAAAGUACACUAUGGACGCAAGCCUGUUCCAGCCCUGCCGCGUGUAGGAAGAAGGCAUUCGUGUUGUAGCGUCCUUUCAGCUGUGAAGCUUUACCCGCAGAAGAAGCACCGGCUAACUCCGUGCCAGCCGCCGCGGUAAUUC
rnacentral:rRNA from 1 species